rnacentral:rRNA from 1 species
GACGAACGCUGGCGGCGUGCCUAAUACAUGCAAGUCGAACGCAGUGGGGACGGGUGAGUAACACGUGGGUAACCUCCCAUCAGAGGGGAUAAACCUUGGCAACAGGUGCUAAACCGCAAGUGGAGGAUGGACCCGCGGUGCAUGAGCUAGUUGGUGAGGUAAAGGCCCACCAAGGCCACGAUGCAUAGCUGACCUGAGAGGGUGAUCAGCCACACUGGGACUGAGACACGGCCCAGACUCCUACGGGAGGCAGCAGUAGGGAAUCUUCGGCAAUGGACGAAAGUCUGACCGAGCAACGCCGCGUGUGUGAAGAAGGUUUUCGGAUCGUAAAGCUCUGUCGUUAGGGAAGCGGUAUCUACCCAGAAAGCCACGGCUAACUCCGUGCCAGCCGCCGCGGUAAUUC